rnacentral:lncRNA from 1 species
AUCCGACUCAAGCAUCGUUAAAAGGAGUAACAACUAUCUCUUUCAAAACCCAUAUGAAUGAGAGCUUUUUAGAAGAUCUAAACCGACAAAGACAGAGACACAGACAAUUUGGUUUCCAGAAAAGAGAGAUUUACAACAUGCUACCCUUCUUAAAAGUCUUCCAUGAGGCUCAACUACUAACCAAGUCAUCCAGUAUCUGCCCUAAAGAAAGACAAAACCUGGAAGAUGAUGAGAGAAAAGAUCAAGAAAACAAAAACCAGAUUACUUCAUCCCAUAAAACAUUCAUUCAGUAUUCAUCUUCUCAAGAAUCACGUUACGGAACUAUCAAAUUUUGUUCAUUCCACGAUGUUAUUCUAGUUUUUCGUCCACCAAAGAUAUAAAUCAAUUCGAACUCCGCCGAAAGGAAAUCAUCCCUAUUAAUGAUAUAUUCUUAUAUUGGAUAGAAAUGAAUAAGAGGAACAAAUCAUCGUCAAAUUUGCAGAAGAAAUUAACUUCUCUCUCCGUCGUUAGAACUUAGAAAGUUUUCUCUCUUGACAAAAUGAGCAUAAACCCUGUCGAACUUCAAAAUGCUCUUGCAACGAUUUGUUCAUCUCCUUUUUCAUGAUUUGCUGCUGCCUCUCAUCCCCUAUCUUGGACAAGGGGCAAGUGAAACAAGACUAUGCACACAAGUAUUGGCAGUGUCGUAGCCUAGCGGUGAACCGAGAAUCUCAACAUUACUCCAGCUCUGAUUUUCUAGGUCAUACCAAUGAAGAACCCUGGUUGCGGGUGGUUUUAGGAACUAAAACUUCGUCCCCACUCUUGGAAUGCACCAACGGUUUCAUAUUCGAGCCUUCUUUCAUUUGAUCUCUCCCUUGAAAAGAGAAAAGUUUAGUCCAAGAAUCCUUCACACCAUACUACUCCAUCACCCCUACAUCGCAAGGUUGCACAGUAUCAUAGGUGGUAAGUACGCAUAGACGUCCUCUCAAAACCUCCACAUUAACAAAAUACAUGAUCAAGCUCGCUCUUCAAAUCAAAGGCAACAAUAAAAAAGUCUUCACACGAUUCUGGAUUUUGGUUAGCCGCCCAAUGCAAUGCACCGUGUAGGAAAGUUCCAUUCCCUCGUGUUUCAUGAAAAUGAUACUGGUAAUCAUAAACCCUUCUCCGUGAUUCACUUUUCAGACUAUAAAACAGUAAAUUCAGUGUACCCCAAACUGAUUAAAUCUCCCAUCAUUACCAAUUUAUAGUCAUGAGUAGCAGUAUCAUAACCAAAUCCAUCGACAAAAGCAUCGCAACACAAAGUAGCGCAUUCUUCGCCGGUAGUCGACCCUUUUUUUUUUUUUUUUUGCGGAAUUGGGUGGCGGACUUAAUUUGUCGAUUAUUAUAUCCAACGGUAGCAUCCGAGUGGCCAUACUUUCGUCUGCCCCCAAAAGCAAAAAGAUUCCAAGCUUUAAUCAAGAGGUGUUGAUUAGUGGUGAUGCAAGAGUAAAGUCUACGACUGCGAACUCGUAAUCUCCGAUAGAACGGCGCACCUCUCACUAGAAAUUUAGAAGCUUCUAUUGGAAAAAUAAAUAAAUAAACAACAGGAAGUAAUAUUUGAUUCAAGUAACUAGUUUAAAGGCGAUAGAAUGUCAGGGAUCUGAAUAUAUGAAACCAAAGAGAAUUUAA